rnacentral:rRNA from 1 species
GACGAACGCUGGCGGCGUGCUUAACACAUGCAAGUCGAACGGAAAGGCCCUGCUUUUGUGGGGUGCUCGAGUGGCGAACGGGUGAGUAACACGUGAGUAACCUGCCCUUGACUUUGGGAUAACUUCGGGAAACUGGGGCUAAUACCGGAUAGGAGCUCCUGCUGCAUGGUGGGGGUUGGAAAGUUUCGGCGGUUGGGGAUGGACUCGCGGCUUAUCAGCUUGUUGGUGGGGUAGUGGCUUACCAAGGCUUUGACGGGUAGCCGGCCUGAGAGGGUGAGCGGCCACAUUGGGACUGAGAUACGGCGCAGACUCCUACGGGAGGCAGCAGUGGGGAAUAUUGCACAAUGGGCGGAAGCCUGAUGCAGCAACGCCGCGUGCGGGAUGACGGCCUUCGGGUUGUAAACCGCUUUCGCCUGUGACGAAGCGUGAGUGACGGUAAUGGGUAAAGAAGCACCGGCUAACUACGUG